rnacentral:rRNA from 1 species
AUUGAACGCUGGCGGCAGGCCUAACACAUGCACGUCGAGCGGAGCGGCGGACGGGUGAGGAAUGCAUAGGAAUCUGACUGGUAGUGGGGGAUAACAUCCGGAAAAGGGAGCUCAUACCGCAUACUAUCAGAUGAGCCUCGGUGGGAUUAGAUAGUUGGUUGGGUAAAGGCCUACCAAGGCGACGAUCCGUAACGGGUCUGGGAGGAUGAUCAGUCACACGUGAACUGAGACACGGUCCAGACUCCUACGGGAGGCAUCAGUUGGGAAUAUUGGACAAUGGGCGAAAGCCUGAUCCAGCCAUGCCGCGUGUGUGAAGAAGGGCUUCGGAUUGUAAAGCACUUUAAGUUGGGAGGCGUUACCAACAGAAUAAGCACCGGCUAACUUCGUGCCAGCAGCCGCGGUAAUUC